GACGAACGCUGGCGGCGUGCUUAACACAUGCAAGUCGAGCGGAAAGGCCCUUCGGGGUACUCGAGCGGCGAACGGGUGAGUAACACGUGAGUAACCUGCCCUAGGCUUUGGGAUAACCCCGGGAAACCGGGGCUAAUACCGGAUAUGACCUGGUGCCGCCUGGUGUUGGGUGGAAAGUUUUUUCUGCCUGGGAUGGGCUCGCGGCCUAUCAGCUUGUUGGUGGGGUGAUGGCCUACCAAGGCGAUGACGGGUAGCCGGCCUGAGAGGGCGACCGGCCACACUGGGACUGAGACACGGCCCAGACUCCUACGGGAGGCAGCAGUGGGGAAUAUUGCACAAUGGGCGGAAGCCUGAUGCAGCGACGCAGUGUGAGGGAUGAAGGCCUUCGGGUUGUAAACCUCUUUCAGCAGGGACGAAGCGUGAGUGACGGUACCUGCAGAAGAAGCGCCGGCCAACUACGUG
rnacentral:rRNA from 1 species